GUGAGGAAUAUUGGUCAAUGGGCGAGAGCCUGAACCAGCCAAGUCGCGUGAAGGAAGAAGGAUCUAUGGUUCGUAAACUUCUUUUGCAGGGGAAUAAAGUGCAGGACGUGUCCUGUUUUGUAUGUACCCUGAGAAUAAGGAUCGGCUAACUCCGUGCCAGCAGCCGCGGUAAUACGGAGGAUCCGAGCGUUAUCCGGAUUUAUUGGGUUUAAAGGGUACGUAGGUGGUUUGAUAAGUCAGCGGUGAAAGUUUGCAGCUUAACUGUAAAAAUGCCGUUGAAACUGUCGGACUUGAGUGUAAAUGAGGUAGGCGGAAUGCGUGGUGUAGCGGUGAAAUGCAUAGAUAUCACGCAGAACUCCGAUUGCGAAGGCAGCUUACUAAGCUACAACUGACACUGAAGCACGAAAGCGUGGGGAUCAAACAGGAUUAGAUACCCGGGUAGUCC
rnacentral:rRNA from 1 species